AAUCUGUAUGAUAACUGGUGUGUUUACAUUUGAAAUGGGGCAGAAGAGUACUGAUUAAGGAUUAGUAAUCAACCAGAACCGAGUUCAGCUGUGUAGUGUAACAGUCAGUGAGCUGGGGUGAGGAUCAAAAGGGGAGAGAUGAAUGCCUCGGGAGAGAGAGAACCAACCAGCACAGAGCCGCGUGUUUGCGUGUGUGUGUAUUUAUAAAAUAAAACUGCUAAAAAAAAAAACCCGUCAUAGAGUCCGCACUGCUGGCUGAGA